rnacentral:rRNA from 1 species
AAGAAAUUUAAUUUUAAGUCAAAUCUGCUCAAUGAAUUAUUAUUUAAAUAGCUGCAGUAAAAAUAACUGUACAAAGGUAGCAUAAUAAUUUGUUUUUUAAUUUAAAACUAGAAUGAAUGAUUUAAUGAAAUAUAAACUGUUUCAAAUUUAAUUUAUAAAAUUAUUAUUUAAGUAAAAAAACUUAAAUUAAUUUUAAAGACGAGAAGACCCUAAAGAAUUUUUAUAUUUAAUUUUUAUACUAAUAUUAAAAAUUAAAUAAUUUAAUUGGGGAAAUUUUAAAAUUUAAUUAAUUUUUAUUUAAAAUCAAACAAUUAUUUUUGAAUCAAUAAUAUUUUUUAAAAAAAAUAAAUUAAAUUACCUUAGGGAUAACAGCAUAAUUUUAAUUUAAAGUUCAAAUUAAAAUUAAAGUUUA